UGCCACCGCCGUUUGAACUGCCAUGACAGCUGGCAGCCAGUCAAAUGCUGCAGUCACAGGGUUUACCUUAUAAGGUAUGAUUAUCUGUUGGUGUUGGGUUAUAAAAGGAGGGCUGCAACUCCAAUAAACUAGUCUCAGUUUCACCCCCCUGAGUCCGUGCCUCAAUACACCACAAAUGGUGCCCCAUGUUGGGGCAUGAAAGAAAUUAAGCUGUUUCUCCAGUGGUGUAGCUCAGCUGAACACAAGGAAGGAAAAAGCACUGAAAGGAAGCGACAAGAGAGCUCUCAAUUACCUUACGCUGGAUGAUAAGAAGGAGCUGAAAUUUUGUGUGCCACCCCUGCCCCAUGACCCACCCCAACCGCAAUCUCCCGUGUUGCCUUUCGUGUCGCCAGAGCCGCCUUCAUUGCCAGCAUCGCUGCGGCCACCUAAGGCACAGCCUGCAGCGUGGCCAGAAACAAAGGCCUCCUCCUCCACACCACAUUCACGUGGACUUCUCUUCUGUGGUUCCGCUGCCACAGCACCAGUUUCUCGGUCAGAUGACUCCGAGGAGGACCCAGAACUCACAGAUAAGAAAAAAGAUUUAACCUUUCACUCUCCUGACUUGCCUGACAAGUGCGGGGGGAGGCGAGACUAGCAGGGGACACGGCAGUCUUAAAAGCUUUCCCAGUCCUGGUCUCGCCUGACCAGGACCCUCACUGGGAGGGUCUGUCAUAUGCUCUUAUUAAAGAUGUAAGG